rnacentral:rRNA from 1 species
GACGAACGCUGGCGGCGUGCUUAACACAUGCAAGUCGAACGGAAAGGCCCUGCUUGCAGGGUGCUCGAGUGGCGAACGGGUGAGUAACACGUGGGUGAUCUGCCCCUUACUUUGGGAUAAGCCUGGGAAACUGGGUCUAAUACUGGAUAGGACCAUGCUGUAGGUGGUGUGGUGGAAAGAUUAGUUUCGGUAAGGGAUGAGCUCGCGGCCUAUCAGCUUGUUGGUGGGGUAAUGGCCUACCAAGGUGUCGACGGGUAGCCGGCCUGAGAGGGUGGACGGCCACAUUGGGACUGAGAUACGGCCCAGACGCCUACGGGAGGCAGCAGUGGGGAAUAUUGCACAAUGGGCGCAAGCCUGAUGCAGCGACGCCGCGUGGGGGAUGACGGCCUUCGGGUUGUAAACUCCUUUCAGCCAUGACGAAGCCCUUGUGGUGACGGUAGUGGUAGAAGAAGCACCGGCUAACUACGUG